GACGAACGCUGGCGGCGUGCUUAACACAUGCAAGUCGAACGGAAAGGCCCUGCUUGCAGGGUACUCGAGUGGCGAACGGGUGAGUAACACGUGGGUGAUCUGCCCUGCACUUCGGGAUAAGCCUGGGAAACUGGGUCUAAUACCGGAUAGGAGCCAUUUUUAGUGUGAUGGUUGGAAAGUUUUUUCGGUGUAGGAUGAGCUCGCGGCCUAUCAGCUUGUUGGUGGGGUAAUGGCCUACCAAGGCGGCGACGGGUAGCCGGCCUGAGAGGGUGGACGGCCACAUUGGGACUGAGAUACGGCCCAGACACCUACGGGAGGCAGCAGUGGGGAAGAUUGAACAAGGGGCGCAAGCCUGGUGCAGCGACGCCGCGUGGGGGAUGACGGCCUUCGGGUUGUAAACUCCUUUCGCUAGGGACGAAGCUUUUUGUGACGGUACCUAGAUAAGAAGCACCGGCUAACUACGUG
rnacentral:rRNA from 1 species